GUAUGGGACAUCCCUCACACUAUGCUCAGCCUGCUGUCCUUCUCUGACACAUAAAUUUAAGGUUUUCAUAAAGACCCAUGUCAUCCUGUACAUGCGGUGCUGUGUGCAGAAGGCUGAUAGCAUGACAUCCAGCGUGAAUCAUCCUGCUGCCGGUGGAUGCCAGUUGGCCACAUGAUGGAGAAAUGGGAGCCAGAGCAGGAUGAGGUGGAGAGGAGGAGGAAGUCCUGCAGAAAGAACAGGGAAGAGGAGGGAUAAUGUCAGCCUUUGGCCCAAGUCAUCUGGCCUCCAUCCUCCAGAACCUCUCUUCAGCACAGGAGAAAGCAGCAGAAUGGCCACGUUCACGCUCUUCUCCCCAAGGACCAUUCUCUGCCCACCUUGAGAUGGCUCUGGAGCAGCUCUCCUGAAGACCUUACCAUCUGAAACCACCCAGGUACACCAAGUCCUCCUGCAUCAUCCUUCCUUGGAUAGAUCAGAGAGGGUGGCACCAGGGAUCCACCACUGCCAUUCAAUCUUGUGGGCACAAGAGGGAAGGAAACAGGAUUUUGAAGCAACCCAACUGUUCACCCUGCCAUGCAGGAGGAAGAGAAUGAGAAAGAAGCCCCACA